rnacentral:rRNA from 1 species
ACGCUGGCGGCGUGCCUAAUACAUGCAAGUAGAACGCUGAAGCUUGGUGCUUGCACCGAGCGGAUGAGUUGCGAACGGGUGAGUAACGCGUAGGUAACCUGCCUCUUAGCGGGGGAUAACUAUUGGAAACGAUAGCUAAAACCGCAUAAAAGUCGAUAUCGCAUGAUAUUGAUUUGAAAGGUGCAAUUGCAUCACUAAGAGAUGGACCUGCGUUGUAUUAGCUAGUUGGUGAGGUAACGGCUCACCAAGGCGACGAUACAUAGCCGACCUGAGAGGGUGAUCGGCCACACUGGGACUGAGACACGGCCCAGACUCCUACGGGAGGCAGCAGUAGGGAAUCUUCGGCAAUGGGGGCAACCCUGACCGAGCAACGCCGCGUGAGUGAAGAAGGUUUUCGGAUCGUAAAGCUCUGUUGUAAGAGAAGAACGAGUGUGAGAGUGGAAAGUUCACACUGUGACGGUAACUUACCAGAAAGGGACGGCUAACUACGUGCCAGCAGCCGCGGUAAUACGUAGGUCCCGAGCGUUAUCCGGAUUUAUUGGGCGUAAAGCGGGCGCAGGCGGUUAGAUAAGUCUGAAGUUAAAGGCUGUGGCUUAACCAUAGUACGCUUUGGAAACUGUUUAACUUGAGUGCAGAAGGGGAGAGUGGAAUUCCAUGUGUAGCGGUGAAAUGCGUAGAUAUAUGGAGGAACACCGGUGGCGAAAGCGGCUCUCUGGUCUGUAACUGACGCUGAGGCUCGAAAGCGUGGGGAGCAAACAGGAUUAGAUACCCUGGUAGUCCACGCCGUAAACGAUGAGUGCUAGGUGUUGGGUCCUUUCCGGGACUCAGUGCCGCAGCUAACGCAUUAAGCACUCCGCCUGGGUAGUACGACCGCAAGGUUGAAACUCAAAGGAAUUGACGGGGGCCCGCACAAGCGGU